UUAGGCAUAUACACAAACUCGCCAGAAUUAAGUAAAACCUUAGAGCAUCUGCAAGGCUCUCUUUUGCAUGCCGGACUGAGCCAGUAUGCCGUCUAUACGUCGCGCUGUGAAGGCGGGGGGUUCGUGUUGGGUGCCAAGGAUGGUGCCGGACAUGGAGGUGAAGAAAGGCGUUCACGUCCAUGCACGCACAGAAUUUAGAAAAAAAAAAAAAAAGAAAAAAAAAAAGAGAGAAUUGCUAUGGAGGUUUGGAACAGAUGUAG
rnacentral:lncRNA from 1 species